rnacentral:sRNA from 1 species
CGCUAUUUGAAAUAUUGCUCCCAAAACCAACGAUAGUUAAAUAACUGCUAACAAGAAGAGAGUACACUGCGCUACGCCAUUAUCUACCGUGACGUCGUAUGCCAAUUAGUGGGAAAAGCGAGACAGUGCAUGUGAUGCCAAAUCAAAAGGAAGACACAUAAAAUAUAACCAAGCAGCAGCAAAAGCCAAGAGCGCAAAAGGCCAGAGUCCGCAGAGAGAGAGAGACAGAGGAAUAUGUGAAGGAUUCAAACCAUUAAUCGAUGUGCCAUUCAGGAGCAGAAGCAGAAGCAGCAAAACCUAGAAGCUAAGCCGAGACGCGAGAGUAUUAACCACAAGAGAAGGCGCAACAGUGCAACAAUCCCUCCAGCAACAAAGAACCUGAAAGCAGCAGCAGACAGCAGCAGAAGUGGCAGCAAACAGAACGUAAAUCUAGAAACAGUGUAAAUACAACUGUAACGAAUUUAAAGCAAAAAA